GUAUUAGUUAUGUUCUUGAAACUCAAAGGAUUUGGCGGUAUUUUAGUCCUUUCAGAGGAAUCUGUUCCGUUAUCGACAACCCACGAAUAGAAGUACUUGAUUUUGUUUUACAGUUUGUAUACCUCCGUCAUAAGAAUAUCUUUUUAGAGGGAAUUUUCUUUAUAUAAUAAAUAUAAUAUGUCAGGUCAAGGUGCAAUUAAUAGUCAAGUGGAAAUGGAUUACAAUAAAUUUAUUUAUAUGGAUUAAAUUGUUUAAUUAUUUAUGAAGGUGGAUUUGAUAGUAAUGUUAUUAUCUUAUUAAUUUGAUUUAGGCUCUAAAAUAUGCACACAUC
rnacentral:rRNA from 1 species